AUUUAACCUUCAGCCUCCUGCCUUAUAAAGCACCUCUGGGGCAGUGGGUAAAGCUGUUAAUUAUUAAGGUCAACCCUAGCAGACAGAGGUGUCCUCAAGUAUGGGUCGUUGUGAUACACUCAGAUAAUUUCUCCAUUAUGUCAAUAACUAAUUUCCUGAAUUGUUCAAGAAUUGACAGAUUAGCAUCCAUUAACCAAGUCUUAACUCAUGGCUACAGGAGCAGUUACAGGCCACAAGGACAGCAGAACCCAUUUGUAACUCCUUGAGCACAUGUAACAGAUACACACAGACAGUACUGCAGCAGCUUGGUGUUAGUAAAACAAAUAACCACGGUGUGUAAAAAGGCUGGGCAGGCAGUGACAGGCACUGGCUUGAACAGAUGUCCUGAUGUUUGUCCUCAGGUGCUCUGAGAGCACAGGAUGAAGUCACUCUGACUUUUAAAGAACUGUGUACUGAGGAACUGUAAAUGAGCAGAAUCACAACUAAACCAAAAUACCCAUUUUAUUCACUACCAAAAGGGCUUUUUCCUUUUUUUUUUUUUUUCUGGGGAAAAAAAAGCCACACAGCAAACAUUUCAUAGAUUUGAUAAGUGUGACUUUUUACAUUGCUCACCCUUAUGCUGCAAGACAAAUCUCAUUGCUUUUAUUUAUGCAGGCCAUAUAAUUUUGUGUGCCUAAAUGCAAACUUUUUUUUUCAAGCAGAGGCUAAGAAGAACCUUUGGAAACUGCAAUACAGGUAGGUAAGAAAUUCCUUUGCUUCACAAAGUGGUUUUAUUGUCUAAAAUAAAACCUCUAAGCCAAACACAACUGGAAAAGCAGCUGUCCUAAGUGGAGCUGUUGUGAAGGGACACAGGGGGCACAGUGCUGAGGCUGCCUGAGCCUGGCACACCGACUGCACCCAGCUCCUGGAGGAGGAGGGAAUGGCUGUGACUGCACCACAGCGUUACCUGUGUCUGCACUUACCUGCCUGAGACUCUUCUGGCUGACUGCCUGGAGGCUGAGGAGAGACAGGAAAGAGAAGGAAAUGAAACUAUGAUGGUGAUAAAACCUACUAAUACCAACAUUUCUUUAGGGGAUCGGUGGGGAGCGAGGCACUGGAAUAACUGCUGCCAGCCUGCUGCCAGAGGGGUGAUGAGCUGCUUUUCCAAGGCCAGCAGUGAACACAAAAAUAUGUUAAACCCUCCCACAGCACAGAUGAAAGAGCUGGAGACUGGGGGUAUGGAAAAGAGGUCAGAGCAGCUUCUUAAGAAGAAACAUUACUGACUUGCAGCUGCACCUGGGUGUCCCACCAAAGCUGGGGACGAUGGGCUGUGGGAGGGGAUUUCAGGGGCUUGUCUGCUGCUGAAAAGGUGGAAAAGGGGAAGUUCCAAGCAGCAACACUUCUCUCAGACUUAGGCUUGUCUCCUCUUUGUGGCAAGCUUUUGGCUGUACUGCCAGCUGUUCUGCCCCAAAGGGAGAGUUUCAGCUGUCUACUGCAGGCUGUUUGGAGGGGAAGGGAUUGGCAGGCAAUGUUCAAAGACAGCAGUCCUGUUUAAAUGCCAACACAGGGAGUAGGGCAGGCGAGACAGGCAGGGGCUGCCAGCCAGUCACAGGGUGGUGAGCAUGGCAGCAGUCUCAUGGGGAGAAAUGCCUGGGGAGAAAUGUCAAAGCUGGAGUGGGUGGGGACACUGCUCCCUUACCUGGAAUGAUAUCUGGCUUUCCCCCCUCCACAAGACAUCCUUUACUAGACCAGUCACUACCACCUUUCCCCACAAGCCUCAACUCCCUUGUAUUCCUUAGGCUGCCAUGGCCGCAGCAUCACUGCAGUACCUUUGUGCAAGGGGCAGGUGGCCGUGGGAGAGGCCACAGGGGGAGAGCAAGCCCAGGUGCACCACAGGCUGGAGCUGUCUGCCCACCGAAACCGCCCAGGCGGCUGUGACUGAAAUUUAAUUUGCCUGGUGCAUUCCGUGGACAUUUUAAUCAGCAUUUCCUACAAUCUGCUUGGCAAAGAGGCUCGAUUGGCAGCUGCCUGACUGAAUGGGCUUUGCACCCAGUCUAACCUUCUCCAUUCGCAAUUUCCAGUGCUGGAAAACCUCUCUGUCUCACUUUCAGAAGUUUCUAUAGCAAUCACAGCCAUCCAAGUGAAGCACUGGAAAUGGCAGCCCAUUCAGAUUGUAAUUUUGCUGGACAGUAAUUGCUCCUCUCUCCACUGGCCUCUGAAAUGUUACUUUUUGGGAGAUAUCAACUGCAACUGGAGGAGACUGGUCCUCUGCCUGUGUUUCCAACCAGCUUUGCUCCCCCUGUCCCCUGAGGAACUUUGUUAGCUGUUGACAGUGUGUGAACCUCGAUUAGCAGGGAAGCAUUGCUGGGCACAUCAUACCUCAGCUACAGGAAAGACCUGACAUGAGCGAUGCUCUUAACAGGCCUGCAGGAACAAACCUCACCACCCAACACAGCAUGUUGUGACCUGAACAUUAUCCAUCACUGCAUAUAGAAGAAGUUACACAAGUGUGUUUGCCUUUGCUAAUUGUAAAAGACCAGAGCACUCCAAGGUUUUUCCUUCAUGUCAGUGAGCUUACUUUUCCUAGAUUCGUUGACUUCAGCUUAAACACUCACUUGAUCUUUUGUUCUAUGCUUCAUUUUUCAGUGGCUGUGAUUGCUCUUAAUUACUUUGACACUGAAGAACCUUGAACUGAAAAUACAUUAAGUAACUUCUUGCAAUAAGAGAAUGUGGUAGAAUUAUCCCACAGCUUGUGAAGAAAUCAGUUAACCAUUUCUUAAGCUCUUGUCAUAAUCUUCCCCUAUACUUUUAUGGCUAUUGUUGCCUGCUGGAAAAAUUAGCUUAAAGCUGAGUAAGGGGAAUUGUGGAUAAGUGUUUGCAAUUUGGCUUUGGACUGACAUAGUGUGGUUGCACUCAGAGAAUUUGAAGUCUUUGCUCUGGCAGCAGUACUCAAAUCUGGAAAUAUAGGAUUCACAUUGGAAAAGAGUGGAUUUUUAUAACUAUUUAAAUGAACAAUUUCAGCUAGAGAGUGGAUUAACAGAGCCAACUAAACCCUUCACCCUGACAAAGAACUGGCGGGAGGACUAUAGAAACACAUCCAAAAUUUUACCAACAUGAAUGCAGAGUACUAGGUCAGUGAGAAGCAUUUCUGUAUUUUAAUGGCUCUCUUAGAAAUCAAUUCAAUUUAAAACAAAAGUUGUUUUACAAAUAUGUGGAGAAUGCAGAAGGCUGGAGAGGGAGCAAGUGGCCUGCAUCCUCCAUCUGCUCCAUCCUCCCUCUCCUCUCGCUCUAGGAGCUGCUACUGCAAGUCCCCCUUCUGGGCAGACACAGAGAAAAAAGCAGGCAGUGCCCCAAACCCAAGGGUCAGAAAUGUCUCCCAUUCUGCAGGUGCGUGGGGUGCACCCCCAGACCCCACACCCUGUAUUUUAUAUGUGCCAGAGCUCCUGAGGCCCACAGCCAAGCAGCAGGAAAGUCUAAGCCCAGGGGUCUUGGGGAAGCUGAGACACAGAAACCUGUGCUUCUCCAUCAGAAAUGAGGUUACAAAACGAGAGAAUAUUAAGUAUCCCAGGAUGAGAAGCAAUCUUCACUGACAUGGAUCUGGCAAUCUGACACUGAGAUGGACACGUUGAGGAUUGCUCAUCUCUGAGAGAAAAUGGAUCAGGACGACACAAGAGAAGCAUCCACUGGAAGAACAAAACUGCAAAGGCAGAUUGGCAAAACCUGUUCUUGAAGAAUUUCAGAAGAGGCAGCAAAGCCUAGGGAAUUUUUUUGAGCAAAACUUCUAAUUAAACAUUGAGAGCUUACUGCUGCAGGAUGUUUGAAGGGAAAACAGGAUCUUAAAUUGAUCUGGGGAAGGGUCCAAUGUUUCCAUGAGUGACGAGGCACAUCUUGAACAGUAAGAAUCCCAAAUUAUGGGGGGGGGGGAAGCACUUUAAUUGUGGUUUGCAUACAGCUAUUUUGUCUCAUCCUCAAGUUGCUGGAGGAAAGGUGGGAAAAACGGUUCUAAAUGCAAAAAUUAUGGCUGCUGGAAGCUGUAACUGAGGGAGACAAGUUUAAACUACUUCUGGAGGAGGACCUUUCUGACAAGCCCUGGAUAUUUCAACCCAAAAGCUGAACCAUCUCUAGGGCAAUGGCUACUGCUUGUGCAGGCAACCACACGCCCAGAAACUGGCACUGCUGCCAGUCCAGGUUUGCCCCCUGGAUACAGAGACCCAAGAAAAAGCAAUCACACUAAGUCAUGAAGACCAAAGGGCUGGAGCACCUCUCCUGUGGAGACAGGCUGACAGAGGGAAACUGAGGCACCAGGCAUAUUCAGACCCAGGAAAGUGCAGGAAGAAAAAUCCUGAAUCUUAAUUCUGUUAGCUGCAUUAUGAUGGAAAGACUGUUCUUUCUCCCUCUUAUGUGGCUGGUGAUCCUGCUGGGCACUGUUUGAAACCUGGUCAGUUGCUUUUUUUUUCAUGUUUAGAUUGCUGCAAAAUAGGUGACAUCUAUCCAGCUGUGUUGUCAUCACAAACACCUUUACUAAAAGAAAAGCCAUUAAUGGUUUUCCUAGUCAGAUCAAAAACCAGCAACAGCAAAAAGUACAUCUUCAAUCCCUCCAAAGCCUUUGGAAGGCUGUCUUGUUCUACCCAAAAUACUGCAAUUGUUCCCUCAAUCUGCACAGUAACAAAUACUAAAACCAGUAACUCUGAAAGACAGAAUUGCACUGUUUAUUAUUAAACAAAAAAGAAGUUAAAUUUUUGGGCAUUGUGAACAUUCUUUGGUCAAUCAAGUAUUUGAAAGAAGUUAGUUGAGAGAUUCUCAGCCAGGAUGUAACCUUUAGAAAACAUGAAG